rnacentral:rRNA from 1 species
AAGUCGUAACAAGGUCUCCGUAGGUGAACCUGCGGAGGGAUCAUUACUGAGUUUUUAACUCUCCAAACCAUGUGAACUUACCACUGUUGCCUCGGUGGUCGGUGCUGGAAACAGUGCUGCCACCGGUGGACUACUAAACUCUUGUUAAUUUUUGUCAAAUCUGAAUCAAACUAAGAAAUAAGUUAAAACUUUCAACAACGGAUCUCUUGGUUCUGGCAUCGAUGAAGAACGCAGCGAAAUGCGAUAAGUAAUGUGAAUUGCAGAAUUCAGUGAAUCAUCGAAUCUUUGAACGCACAUUGCGCCCAUUAGUAUUCUAGUGGGCAUGCCUGUUCGAGCGUCAUUUCAACCCUUAAGCCUAGCUUAGUGUUGGGAGACUGCCUAAUACGCAGCUCCUCAAAACCAGUGGCGGAGUCUGUUCGUGCUCUGAGCGUAGUAAUUUUUUAUCUCGCUUCUGCAAGCCGGCCAGACGACAGCCAUAAACCGCACCCUCUCGGGGGGCACUUUUUUAAUGGUUGACCUCGGAUCAGGUAGGAAUACCCGCUGAACUUAA